UGAAGAGUUAAAUGCUAAAAAUGAAAUAGCGUGUUAAUAGGAUGCAGAGUGGGAGUAGAGGUAGAUGUGUUAUUCCUCUGCCUGGGUGAGCUGGGGCUGCCCCGAGAGGCCAUUGCAGCCCCAGGAAGCAGAACUCACUUGGAACACAGAAGAAGGUGGGGUGUUCUCAGAAACACGAAUGGUCCAGGACCCCACUCCAUCCUUUCUUACUCAUGCUGGUACAGGGAAGUACCAGCCACCAGCUUCUGCUGAAAUGAGGCAUCGCAGGCAGAGGAGGGAGGAAGCCGUGGGAAGUUUUCCGGAAAAGCAGAACCGGUUCCUAGAAAGGCUCUAACGAACUUGAUGGAAGGUGAAUGAAUACCUGCACCACUCUAUUUUGGAGUCAUUUACCAAAUGCCACUACUGUCAAGAAACAGGCCAUCACAUCCUUCCUCUGCAUUCACGAAUAUCACCCUUCAGUAUCUUAAGACUUGCUAUUUGUCAUGAAACUCAUAUGUAAAUUCCUCUAUGGUUAUAUUAAGUAUACAUUUGAUUUUUGAAUUAAAAAAAUGAUCAAGGGCAUAUAUAGAUCAUCUUUGUCAGCACAUAGGAUUAAAGUUACUCAGCUUUUAUGAAGAGGCCCUGCAACAAACAUGGCAUGGAUUUCUGCAUAUGUAUCCAGCCAUUACUAAUUUCUGUGUCAAAGUGUUUAAAACUGUUAUAAAUGAUUAGAUGAUUCAGUGUAGAGUUCAGUUAAAAUUGCAGAACUAGAGGGGAGAGAUGGGAAGUGCCACACAAGGGUUAAGUCCCUCACCGCAAACACAGCCGUGUAGCAGACAUCAGAGUGACCCAGGCGGCUGGAGCACUUGGCUGGUCCACCACCCAGAGCUGGGAAGCUGUUUUCCUUGAGGACUCUACUCGGGAGAGAAGAAGACGUCACCUCUGUGUGUGUCUCUGAGACGACUUCAAGGGAUGUUUAGUGGGGAAAGAAUUUCCAGAGUAUGUUUUUUUUCAUCUCAUCUGAAAGACACAGUGGUUUUCAACUAGCUUGGUGCUGUUACGACAGUCAUUUCACCUGACCUCUUUUUUAAACAGGCCUAAGACAAGCCACUCUGCCAUCUAAGCAGAACUAAUGCUGUUACAAGAGCAUGCAAAUUGUAAUUAAAAAAAAAAAUCCAUAAGCCAGCAGUUUCUUUUGACCACAGUGGCUUUUUCCCUCCUGCUAGUUCUGCUGAAACAGCAGCGCUGCUGUGCACUAUGAGACUCCAGCUCUGUGCUCCAAUUUGUUGUUCCUCUGAUGAGAACUGCAUGUGAGGAUGCUUGGUUUUGUGUGUGAAGGGCCACACAUGCAGCAGGAUUUCAAGUCUCUGAGGACAGGGGCCCCUCCCUCCUUUACAUCACUUUUCGUUUAUAGGAUCCCACCCCAGGGCUGUCAUGGGGGCUGUGUUAUCGCCUGUUGAGUGGAUGUGUGGUUGAACAAAUGAGGGACUGAACAGAGAGCUCCAGUCUCCUGUGUUCUAAACCGAACAGUGCAAACUGGUCGGGAUCCGUUUCAAUCAAAGAGCAGGAUCUGUGAGAUGCAGAAAUAAAAAGAUGAGGAUACGAUUCCAACAGGAGCAGGCAGAGGCUGGAGUUCACCAGUUCCUUAGUGAAGGUAGAUCAGAUCUGUGUAGACAUAUGUUGUAGGAUAUAUACGUGUGUGUGUGUACAGAUAGUGGCUGCUAUGUAUGUAAUUAUACACAGUCAUGUAAUUAUUUAUUUCAAUGUAUUGUGUAUAACGUUCACGGAGGAUGUAUGUAUAAGUGUGCAUGUAUUAUGUGUGUAUACAUGUGUAUUUGUGUAUAUGAACAUAUGUGUAUACAUAUGAAUAUAGAAGUAUAUAUACAUUUCAAAGAAUUUGCAUCAGACUUCCUCUCAACAACCACCUUUGUUUAGAAAAAUACCUUGAUUAUCCACUUGGGAGUGGAAAGGCAGUCAAGUCAUAGCUAAACCAAUCCGAAUCUAAACANNNNNNNNNNNNNNNNNNNNNNNNNNNNNNNNNNNNNNNNNNNNNNNNNNNNNNNNNNNNNNNNNNGGAAAGAGGAGGUUCAAGAGGGAGGUGGGCUUUCACAGGCUUUGCUUGGGAAAGUCGUCAUGGGGGAGGGAGAAGAAAGAGGCUGAAUUCCAAAGCAGAGACAAGAUGCCGACAAGAGAGAUGCGAGUUCAACAACGGCAGGAUUUUGCAACUGGAUGUGACAGCAAGUCUAUAAAAUCUCAAGAAUUAAUAAGUCAAUCUGGGGAGACCAUCACACCUCUCACAGAGCUUGGGAAGAAGGCUCAAGAAAAUUUUAAUUAAAAUUUAAAAGUUGCUGGUACUUCAGUUUAUGUCUCUGGGCGCCUUUAAUCCUUCGCAGGGUGCGGAUUGAGAAACCCUCUCUGCACCCCAUCAAGCCAGUUCCUGUGGGAUCUUCCUAAAACCCAGGGUGACAAAAGAG
rnacentral:lncRNA from 1 species